AGACGCAGGGGACGUGUCAGACGUGCGACAGGAAGGGCUCAGCGAGGCGAGAGCGAAGCUGUGAGGAAGGAAGGCAGGGUAGAGACCAGAAUCGAGGAAGAUCGGAGUGGAAGAAAAUGGAGCUGGUGUCUCAGUGAAGACAUGCCCAGAGAUGCCCAAAGAUGCCCAAUGGAUGAGCUGCUGCAACCUGUCUCAGCCAUGGGGGAUGGGAGAGGAAAGUGGAGAAAGGACAAAAAAAAAAAAAAACGAGUAGAGAGAAAAGAAGUGAAUAUGUAAUGCAAAAAUUAAAAUUACCUGAUAAGUCAGGACAUGGGAAGUUCUGCCUCCCUAAUGGGGACCCAGGAAGAUGUAGGAAGAGAAGUAAAGCCACUUUCUAAGGACAUGGAGAAAUUCAGAACACCAAGCCGCCCAGGUUUCCUGGCUCCCAGUCUUGGCACACAGUGCUCCACCUUGCUGGGUAAUUCAGCCACCUCUGAUGGGAGAAGCUCUUCAGUCUUCCAUCUGCCAGAGGCUAAGCUGCAGGAGGUACGUGGCCAUAAGAAACCCGUGACACCCUCCCCUGGAACUGUACCCACGUCCCACACGGACAGAUGCUUCACUCCUCCACUUCUUGGCAGUACUUCCUACAGCCCCUGGGUGAACUUCUCCAGCUGGCUGUGAUCGACCUCCAGAGGGCAUGACCGUGGCUGAGACUCAGCUUUUCAUGUUCCCAGCUCUGGCUUAGGGAGUCACCCCAAGGAAGCAGCAGAUUAAGGAGAAAUGUGGACGCAUCCUUCCUGAGUGUUGGUUCCCCCAGAGAGAUGACAGACCCCAUGGCCAGCACUUCAACAUAUAUUGAGCUGUGGGAAUUAGAAUCUAGGACAAUUUGGGAGAAAAAAGGCUUUUGUCUUUAAGGCGUUUACAGCUUAAGGAGAGGAUAUCAUAUUCCAUAGCUGUGACAAAUCAAAAAAUUAAAAGUAGUCUUUCCAAGGAUGGUUUCAGUAGUUUAGCCCUAAGGAGUGAGGAAUUUGUUUGGUUAGACAUACUGAAGAUGGAGACUAUACUUCUGAGAAUAAGCCUAAAGACUGUGAGUCUCGAAAGCCAAUUUACACACCACGCAGAAAACUGACGGGUCUCAGGAAAACUAAAAUGAGGAAAGCCAGCAGAGGCCCAGGCAGACGUCAAAUUAAUCUCUAGAAACAGAGGACAAUCUGCUUUGGCUUGGCAAAAAUUAAAAUAGAACUUAGUUGAGCUUCAGUGUGAAUGGAGGUGGGGAGAGUUCCUUCCUUUCUGUUGAUGGGAUGUAAAACCCUCACUAGCCAACAAGCUCCCCCAGGAAAGACAAUGCCACAUGCCUUCAUUGCCCUGGUGAGUUGUGGGAUGUCUGUCCCUCAGCAGGGUCUCAGUUACUGUGUGUUGAAUGAAUGAUGGAUCCAAUAGAAGAAAAAAGAAGUGAAAAGAAUGACUGGAUAAAGCCCCAUUCCAGCCCAUGUUCCCCUGAUAACAGUAAUAAAAUGAAGGACAGACUGGACUGAAUUAUUACGGUACUUUAACUUUGUUUAACUUUGUGAAAACACUAUGUUUAGCUAGGAUAAUGGGAGUACUUGGACUGGUAAUAAACAAAUAAAUGAGCAAAGC